rnacentral:rRNA from 1 species
UGACGUCUGGUCCGCAUAGCCCUUUAUGUCCUGGGCUACACACGCGCUACAAUGGCCGAUACAGUAGGAAGCCAAAUCGUAAGAUGGAGCUAAUCCUUAAAGUCGGUCUCAGUUCGGAUUGAGGUCUGAAAUUCGACCUCAUGAAGUUGGAUUUGCUAGUAAUCGUAGAUCAGCAAUGCUACGGUGAAUACGUUCUCGGGUCCGUU